GACGAACGCUGGCGGCGUGCCUAAUACAUACAAGUAGGACGCAGUUUCGAACGGGUGAGUAACGCGUAGGUAACUACCUAUUAGAGGGGGAUAACUAUUGGAAACGAUAGCUAAUACCGCAUACUAGUAGAUAAACCUGCGUUGUAUUAGCUAGUAGGUAGGGUCAUGGCCUACCUAGGCAACGAUACCUAGCCGACCUGGGAGGGGGUGAGGCCACAAUGGGACUGCGACACGGACCAGAAACCUACCGGAGGCAGCAAUAGGGAAUCUGCGGCAAUGGGGGGAAACCUGAACGAGCAAAGCUGAGGGAGCGAAGAAGGUUGUCGGGAAGUAAAGCUCUGUUGUUUAGGAAGCGGCACUUAACCAGAAAGGGACGGCUAACUACGCGCCAGCAGCCGCGGUAACGC
rnacentral:rRNA from 1 species